rnacentral:rRNA from 1 species
UUCCCCUAGUAACUGCGAGUGAAGCGGGAAAAGCUCAAAUUUAAAAUCUGGCAGUCUUUGGCUGUCCGAGUUGUAGUCUGGAGAAGUGUUUUCCGCGCUGGACCGUGUACAAGUCCCUUGGAAUAGGGCGUCAUAGAGGGUGAGAAUCCCGUCUUUGACACGGACUACCAGUGCUUUGUGAUGCGCUCUCAAAGAGUCGAGUUGUUUGGGAAUGCAGCUCAAAAUGGGUGGUAAAUUCCAUCUAAAGCUAAAUAUUGGCGAGAGACCGAUAGCGAACAAGUACCGUGAGGGAAAGAUGAAAAGCACUUUGGAAAGAGAGUUAAACAGUACGUGAAAUUGCUGAAAGGGAAACGAUUGAAGUCAGUCGCGUCGUGCAGAACUCAGCCUGGCUUUUGCUUGGUGUAUUUUCUGCAUGACGGGCCAGCAUCAGUUUUGGCCGCUGGAAAAGGGUUUCAGGAAUGUGGCACCUUCGGGUGUGUUAUAGCCUGGGGUCGUAUACAGCGGCUGGGACUGAGGAUCGCAGUGCGCCUUUAUGGCUGGGGUUCGCCCACAUUCGCACUUAGGAUGCUGGCGUAAUGGCUUUAAACGACCCGUCUUGAAACACG